rnacentral:rRNA from 1 species
AUUGAACGCUGGCGGAAUGCUUUACACAUGCAAGUCGAACGGUAGAGGGGGCAACCCCUCGAGAGUGGCGAACGGGUGAGUAAUACAUCGGAACGUGCCCAGUCGUGGGGGAUAACGUAGCGAAAGUUACGCUAAUACCGCAUACGAUCUACGGAUGAAAGCGGGGGACCGUAAGGCCUCGCGCGAUUGGAGCGGCCGAUGUCAGAGUUAGGUAGUCGGUGAGGUAAAGGCUCACCAAGCCGACGAUCUGUAGCUGGUCUGAGAGGACGACCAGCCACACUGGGACUGAGACACGGCCCAGACUCCGACGGGAGGCAGCAGUGGGGGAUUUUGGACAAUGGGCGCAAGCCUGAUCCAGCCAUUCCGCGUGCAGGACGAAGGCCUUCGGGUUGUAAACUGCUUUUGUACGGAACGAAAAGGUCUCUCUUAAUACGGGGGACUCAUGACGGUACCGUAAGAAUAAGCACCGGCUAACUACGUGCCAGCCGCCGCCGUAA